rnacentral:rRNA from 1 species
AUUGAACGCUAGCGGCAUGCUUAACACAUGCAAGUCGAACGAGUGGCGGACGGGUGAGUAAUAUAUGGGAACGUGCCCAGUAGCGGGGGAUAACUACUCGAAACAGUAGCUAAUACCGCAUACUAUUGGAUCGGCCCAUAUCGGAUUAGCUAGUGGGUGGGGUAAUGGCUCACCAAGGCCACGAUCCGUAGCUGGUGUGAGAGGAUGACCAGCCACACUGGGACGGAGACACGGUCCAGACUCCUACGGGAGGCAGCAGUGGUGAAUAUUGGACAAUGGUGGAAACCCUGAUCCAGCCAUGCCGCGUGUGUGAGAAGGCCUUCGGGUUGGAAAGUACUUUUGGCGGUGAUGCGGUAUUUGCAGAAGAAGCACCGGCUAACUACGUGCCAGCAGCCGCGGUAAUAC